CCUACGGGGGGCUGCAGUGGGGAAUAUUGCACAAUGGGCGCAAGCCUGAUGCAGCCAUGCCGCGUGUGUGAAGAAGGCCUUCGGGUUGUAAAGCACUUUCAGCGGGGAGGAAGGCGGUGAGGUUAAUAACCUCAUCGAUUGACGUUACCCGCAGAAGAAGCACCGGCUAACUCCGUGCCAGCAGCCGCGGUAAUACGGAGGGUGCAAGCGUUAAUCGGAAUUACUGGGCGUAAAGCGCACGCAGGCGGUCUGUCAAGUCCGAUGUGAAAUCCCCGGGCUCAACCUGGGAACUGCAUUCGAAACUGGCAGGCUAGAGUCUUGUAGAGGGGGGUAGAAUUCCAGGUGUAGCGGUGAAAUGCGUAGAGAUCUGGAGGAAUACCGGUGGCAAAGGCGGCCCCCUGGACAAAGACUGACGCUCAGGUGCGAAAGCGUGGGGAGCAAACAGGAUUAAUACCCCGGUAGUC
rnacentral:rRNA from 1 species